rnacentral:rRNA from 1 species
GACGAACGCUGGCGGCGUGCCUAACACAUGCAAGUUGAGCGAAUGAAGUUCCUUCGGGAAUGGAUUUAGCGGCGGACGGGUGAGUAACACGUGGGCAACCUGCCUCAUAGAGGGGAAUAGCCUUCCGAAAGGGAGAUUAAUACCGCAUAAGAUUGUAGUACCGCAUGGUACAGCAAUUAAAGGGGCAAUCCGCUAUGAGAUGGGCCCGCGGCGCAUUAGCUAGUUGGUGAGGUAAUGGCUCACCAAGGCGACGAUGCGUAGCCGACCUGAGAGGGUGAUCGGCCACAUUGGGACUGAGACACGGCCCAGACUCCUACGGGAGGCAGCAGUGGGGAAUAUUGCACAAUGGGGGAAACCCUGAUGCAGCAACGCCGCGUGAGUGAUGACGGCCUUCGGGUUGUAAAGCUCUGUCUUCAGGGACGAUAAUGACGGUACCUGAGGAGGAAGCCACGGCUAACUACGUGCCAGCAGCCGCGGUAACAC